rnacentral:rRNA from 1 species
AGAGUUUGAUCAUGGCUCAGGAUGAACGCUGACAGAAUGCUUAACACAUGCAAGUCUACUUGAUCCUUCGGGUGAUGGUGGCGGACGGGUGAGUAACGCGUAAAGAACUUGCCCUGCAGUCUGGGACAACAUUUGGAAACGAAUGCUAAUACCGGAUAUUAUGUGAGAUUCGCAUGUUUCUCAUAUGAAAGCUAUAUGCGCUGCAGGAGAGCUUUGCGUCCUAUUAGCUAGUUGGUGAGGUAACGGCUCACCAAGGCCAUGAUAGGUAGCCGGCCUGAGAGGGUGAACGGCCACAAGGGGACUGAGACACGGCCCUUACUCCUACGGGAGGCAGCAGUGGGGAAUAUUGGACAAUGGACCAUAAGUCUGAUCCAGCAAUUCUGUGUGCACGAUGAAGUUUUUCGGAAUGUAAAGUGCUUUCAGUUGGGACGAAGUAAGUGACGGCACCAACAGAAGAAGCGACGGCCAAAUACGUGCCAGCAGCCGCGGUAAUACGUAUGGUGCAAGCGUUAUCCGGAUUUACUGGGUGUAAAGGGUGAGUAGGCGGUUAUGCAAGUCAUAUGUGAAAUUCUGGAGCUCAACUCCAGCGCUGCAUAAGAAACUGUGUAACUAGAGUACAGGAGAGGUAAGCGGAAUUCCUAGUGUAGCGGUGAAAUGCGUAGAUAUUAGGAAGAACACCGGUGGCGAAGGCGGCUUACUGGACUGAAACUGACGCUGAGUCACGAAAGCGUGGGGAGCGAACAGGAUUAGAUACCCUGGUAGU